rnacentral:rRNA from 1 species
CCUACGGGAGGCAGCAGUGAGGAAUAUUGGUCAAUGGACGAGAGUCUGAACCAGCCAAGUAGCGUGAAGGAUGACUGCCCUAUGGGUUGUAAACUUCUUUUAUAUAGGAAUAAAACGAGCCACGUGUGCGUUUUUGUAUGUACCUUAUGAAUAAGGAUCGGCUAACUCCGUGCCAGCAGCCGCGGUAAUACGGAGGAUCCGAGCGUUAUCCGGAUUUAUUGGGUUUAAAGGGAGCGUAGAUGGAUUGUUAAGUCAGUUGUGAAAGUUUGCGGCUCAACCGUAAAAUUGCAUUUGAUACUGGCAGUCUUGAGUACAGUAGAGGUAGGCGGAAUUCGUGGUGUAGCGGUGAAAUGCUUAGAUAUCACGAAGAACCCCGAUUGCGAAGGCAGCUCACUAAACUGCAACUGACAUUGAGGCUCGAAAGUGUGGGUAUCAAACAGGAUUAGAUACCCCAGUAGUC